UGGGAUGUAGCUCAAAGGUAGAGCACCUGCCUAGCACACAUGAAGUUCUGGGUUCAAUUCCCAGUACCAG
rnacentral:tRNA from 1 species